rnacentral:lncRNA from 10 species
GUUUCCGGUUCCGGUGUCAGCGGCGGUUGAAUUGCCAUGGCAAUGCGGUGGGCGCGCGCUUGUCGUGUUGGUCUCUUGGGAGGUAGCGGGGCUAGGCCGGGCGGGUAUCCGCCUCUCCCAGCUUAGGUGAGCGUCCCCGGGCGCCUCCGGAGCGCCGCGGCCGCAUGCAGUUCGUCGUGGCGGGGAGCCGGAGCCUGACCGGGGUUCCAGCGCUCGGGCCGUAGCCUUGGCUCCUGGACUUUCCCUGGCUCCGCCGCCACGUGGGAGCUGAGGCUCUGGGGCUUCCGCCUCCGGCGCGCGAUUAUUUCUCUAGAACAGUUUUCAUUUUUAAAAUUUGUAAAGCGCUUUUGCCUGUGUGAUUUCCUCUGGGUUUUUUUUUUUUUUCUUCCUUUUUGUAGAGACGGAAUUGGCGGCGGGGGCGGGGGGUCGAUGUCUCACUUUUUUGCCCAGGCUGGUCUCGAACUCCUGGCUUCAAGGGAUCCUCCUGCCUCGGCCUCUUAAAGUGCUGGGAUUACAGGCGUGAGCCACCGCCCCCGGCCGCCUCUGAGUUUCCAGCCUCGUUGGCCCUCCAGCCUUUUAACCUGUUGGGCCUAGGAUCAGGAAAGGUUUGUUGAAUGGGGAACUAAGAAGUGAAUUCGUUCGUUCGACAAACGUUUCCUGAGCAGCCGCUGGGUGCUAGGCGCAGUGCCAGCGCGGAAUGUCCAGGGAGACCUGGUGCCCAAAGCUUGGACCCAUCGUGAGAAAUGAGAAGCAGAUACAAAGCAGUGUGGGAGUGCAGAGGAGACAAAGCAAGCCUCAUCAGGCCCAUUGCUUGCUCUGCUCUCCCUUGUACUUACCAGUGCUUGACAAUAUACAGUUAUUUACUAGCUUGGUUAUUGACUUCCUACCCAGCACUCAGUUUUAUUCACUGCUGUAUCCUCAGUGCCUAGGACGAUGCUUGGAACGUGGUAAGUGCUCCUAUUGGCGGGAAGAAUAAAUCCGGAAGAGCAGGACCAGUGGACUUGCUACAUAAUCUGUAGUCUUGGAGCCGCACAGGGUUGGUGGUACCCUCGAGCACACCAGACUUGCAGAAAAAGCAUACUCCAGAGGAAGCUGAGGCAUGCCUGCUCGAGAGCCAGCUGUUCCAUGUGCAAUUUUCCUCUGAUAGUUUCUGGUCACUGUUGCCACGGUGAUAAUGACUGGGCUAUGUCAUUAUCUAUCCGCCAACAGUAAGAGAAGCUUUGCAGUCGAGAUAUUGUUUAGCAGAUGGAGUGUUUUCUGUUGAACACUAAGUACUGCCACAAGUUACUUUUUUUUUUUUAAACUUUGAGUAUUUUUUUACAAUGUUGCUGGAGGUGAUCUGUUUAUGCUUUGAGAGUGUUCGAAUUUAAAAUCAGAAAAUCAUGUCAGUGAGUGAGUCUUUCAAAUAAUCCUUCGGCAUGAAACCUGAGCCUAGUAAACUAUGAAAGUAAACUCGGCACAUUACCCGAAAGUCUCAAUGUCAUAUUUUCACCCCCAUCAAUAUUAUUGAUGAUUGCUCAUUUUCUAAUGUGGGACCUGAAAUUUACCAGGUGCUUAAAGAAUCUUUUUGUUUUUCAGAUUCAUUGAUUCCAGGUAAAUCAGAGGAACAAGCAACAUGAACAGAAAUAUGUAGAAAAAGCUAUUAUGCAGAAGCAUAAUUGUUGUUUCAGAAGUCCAGCAUCUGGUGCACUUAACAAUAGAGAAUAUAUUAAACUCUUUCCAAAAUAA